ACCAUGUAAGAAGUGCUUUUCACCUCCCCCCAUGAUUCCGAGGCCUCCCCAGCCACAUGGAACUAACCAGGACAUCAGAGGAAGAAAAUCAGCAGACAGAAAAAUACUGGGGAAAAAAAAAUGCCACGUGGUUCUGUUCAGCUGAGCUUCUGCUCCCUCCAGCACCCCCACAUGGGACAUUUGUUUACCCCCCACGAUGCUGCUCUUGGAGAGUCCCAGGGGACAGGUUUCAAGCCCUUAGGGAUGCAGCCUGUCUAACUUAAUAUGCACAGCCGUUCACAUCCAGGGCACAGAGGCAGCCUGGCUUUCCCUGGAGGCCCACGGGGACCACAAUGCUGCAUUUGUCUGUGGAACUGAGAUUUAGCUGCACAUUCUUGCCUGAAUGCAGCGGGCCUCCAGCCACAGCCUGCUGGCAUGGGGGAUUCCAGGAGGGAUGUGCUUCAUGAGCCGGCAAUUGCCCUUCUUUCCAGUCCCCAGACCCAGUCAAGAUUACAGAUAGAUGCGUUCAUCGCGCGCAGGUGCUGGGGAAGCCAGUGGGACAUCACUGGCUACAUUCACCAACAGGAUUUUCCAACUGCAGUAUUUAUCGGUUUUUCAAACGAAUUCAACAUCUGUAUUCCUCACCCAUUUACUGAGUGGCUACAAUGUGUAAGGAAAUAUUCUCAGUCAUGGGGAGUUAGAAAAGGUCAAAGGCAUAUAAGAUAUGGCAUGUGCUCUGAGAGAACUCAUCAUCUAUCCAGAACCUACUCAUCACUUUUGGAAAGAGAAGAGAAACUAGCAUUCUAUGGAGUACUUACCAUGUGCCAGAUUUGGUGUGAGACAUAGUACGAGUGUUACUCAUUUACGUCUCAUGGCCAACCUCCAAUGUGGACAUUUAGCAUCUCCAUCUUACAAGUGAGAAAUUUCACUGUAGAGAGGUUAAAUAUCAUGUGUCAUUGAUUCUGUGACAUGUAUUAUUUUCACAUUUGAACAUCUGAAAUAUAGAUAUGUCUAAAAGGGCUUUUCUUUCUUGGUAGUAAGAUAACUGUAGGUCUUUGCAGUAGUGUCUUAGAUUAUGUGAAAUAUGGUAUUUUGGCAAGUGUACAUGGCUAAGAACAAGUGGAAUCAGAAUUCAACUUAAGUUUGCUUGACUCCAAAGCUUAUGUGUUUUCCAGUAUAAUGUGCUGCAGUAUCAAUGGUCUGUAUGAACAAAGGCCAUAUCAUUUUUAUUGACAAAGUAUAGAAACGGGGAAAUGGUGACUGAACUGGAACUUGCAUCAUCUAAUUCCAUAACUGAGGAGACAAUAGCCUGGGGACUGCAUGUAUCCCACAGGAUGUUAAAAAAUUGAGAAAAUGUUAUUUCAUGAUCUUCACUUCUCUGUUGAUUAUAACUUAUUUUUGAAGAGGCUAAAAUAAAUGGCAAACUCUUGUAUGGAUAAGAUAUAAAA
rnacentral:lncRNA from 1 species